rnacentral:rRNA from 1 species
UGGGGAAUCUUGCGCAAUGGGCGAAAGCCUGACGCAGCAACGCCGCGUGAGGGAAGAAGGCUUUCGGGUUGUAAACCUCUUUCAGGAGGGACGAAGCUUCCGGGGUUAAUAGCCUACGGGGUGACGGUACCUCCAGAAGAAGCCCCGGCUAACUACGUGCCAGCAGCCGCGGUAAUACGUAGGGGGCAAGCGUUGUCCGGAAUCAUUGGGCGUAAAGCGCGUGUAGGUGGCUUGGUAAGUCCGGUGUGAAACCUUGGGGCUCAACCCCAAGCCUGCAUCGGAUACUGCCUCGCUCGAGUUCGGGAGGGGAGAGCGGAAUUCCUAGUGUAGCGGUGAAAUGCGCAGAUAUUAGGAAGAACACCGGUGGCGAAGGCGGCUCUCUGGAACGAUACUGACACUGAGACGCGAAAGCGUGGGUAGCGAACAGGAUUAGAUACCCAAGUAGUCCCUGAGCGGGCUGGCAAGGCGCAU